rnacentral:tRNA from 1 species
GCCCUUGUAGUACAAAUCAGUACACCAGUCUUGUAAACUGGAAAUGGAAAUCUCUCCCUGGGGCA